rnacentral:rRNA from 1 species
GAUGAACGCUAGCGGCAGGCCUAACACAUGCAAGUCGAGGGGUAACAGAGAGUGCUUGCACUCUGCUGACGACCGGCGCACGGGUGCGCACCGCGUAUGGAAUCUGCCCUUUACAGGGGGAUAGCCCAGGGAAACUUGGAUUAAUACCCCGUAGUACCUUUCGUAGCAUUGCGAGAUGGUUAAAGGCUUCGGCCGGUAAAGGAUGACCAUGCGUCCCAUUAGUUAGUUGGUAAGGUAACGGCUUACCAAGACCGCGAUGGGUAGGGGCCCUGAGAGGGGGAUCCCCCACACUGGUACUGAGACACGGACCAGACUCCUACGGGAGGCAGCAGUGAGGAAUAUUGGACAAUGGGUGAGAGCCUGAUCCAGCCAUGCCGCGUGCAGGAAGAAUGCCCUAUGGGUAGUAAACUGCUUUUAUACAGGAAGAAAAAGGGGUACGUGUACCCCACUGACGGUACUGUAAGAAUAAGGACCGGCUAACUCCG